UACGAAGGGGGCUAGCGUUGUUCGGAAUUACUGGGCGUAAAGCGCACGUAGGCGGACUACUAAGUCAGGGGUGAAAUCCCGGGGCUCAACCCCGGAACUGCCUUUGAUACUGAUAGUCUCGAGUCCGGAAGAGGUGAGUGGAAUUCCGAGUGUAGAGGUGAAAUUCGUAGAUAUUCGGAGGAACACCAGCGGCGAAGGCGGCUCACUGGUCCGGUACUGACGCUGAGGUGCGAAAGCGUGGGGAGCAAACAGG
rnacentral:rRNA from 1 species